CCUACGGGAGGCAGCAGUAGGGGAUAUUGGACAAUGGGGGGGAACCCUGAUCCAGCGACGCCGCGUGAGUGAAGAAGUAUUUCGGUAUGUAAAGCUCUGUCAGCAGGGAAGAAAGCAAUGACGGUACCUGACCAAGAAGCCCCGGCUAACUACGUGCCAGCAGCCGCGGUAAUAAGGAGGGGGCAAUCGUUAUCCGGAAUUACUGGGUGUAACGGGGGCGUAGACGGGUGUGCAAGUCGGGAGUGAAAGUCGGGGGACUAUCCCCCGGACUGCAUUGGAAACUGUAUGGCUGGAGGGCAGGAGGGGUAAGUGGAAUUCCUGGUGGAGCGGUGAAAUGCGUAGAGAUUAGGAGGAACACUAGUGGCGAAGGCGGCUUACUGGACUGUAACUGACGUUGAGGCUCGAAAGCGUGGGGAGCAAACAGGAUUAGAUACCCCAGUAGUC
rnacentral:rRNA from 1 species